rnacentral:rRNA from 1 species
AAUGAACGUUGGCGGCGUGGAUUAGGCAUGCAAGUCGAACGGGCCGCAAGGCCAGUGGCGCAAGGGUGAGUAAGGCGACGGUAACCAACCCCGGGAUUGGGUAUAGCCGCGGGAAACCGC